GCGAGGCUGCGUCGCGCGUCAGGAGCCACAUAUCCCCGGGGCCUUAUCGAUCCUCACGGGAACUGUCCCUGGCCAGGUCCGUGGACCUGGCUACAUGGUGCCCACCUACUUUCGUAGGUGCUCCGGGAUCGAGUGCUUCAACGGCCACCGCGGCUUCGCA
rnacentral:other from 5 species